rnacentral:rRNA from 1 species
AUUGAACGCUGGCGGCAGGCCUAACACAUGCAAGUCGAGCGAGGGGCAGUCGCGUGAGGAAGACCUAGGCAUGUGCAUGGUGGUGGGGGAUAACGUCCGGAACCGGGAGCUAAUACCGCAUACUAUCGGAAUAGGCUAGGUCGGAUUGGGUAGUUGGGGGGGUAACGGCUCACCUAGGCGACGAUCCCUAGCUGGUCUGAGAGGAUGACCAGCCACACUGGAACUGAGACACGGUCCAGACUCCUACGGGAGGCAGCAGUGGGGAAUAUUGCACAAUGGGCGCAAGCCUGAUGCAGCCAUGCCGCGUGUGUGAAGAAGGCCUUCGGGUUGUAAAGCACUUUCAGCGGGGAGGCGUUACCCGCAGAAGAAGCACCGGCUAACUCCGUGCCAGCAGCCGCGGUAAUUC